AGUGAACGCUGGCGGCGUGCUUAACACAUGCAAGUCGAACGGAUGAAAUAAGCUUGCUUAUUUCGUUAGUGGCGCACGGGUGAGUAAUGUAUAGCUAACCUGCCCUUUAGUGGGGGACAACAGUUGGAAACGACUGCUAAUACCCCAUAUUCCUUCUUAUCACAAGGUAAGUUGGGAAAGAUUUAUUGCUAAAGGAUGGGGCUUUAUGGUAUCAGCUAGUUGGUGGGGUAACGGCCCACCAAGGCUAUGACGCCUACCUGGUCUGAGAGGAUGAUCAGGCACACUGGAACUGAGACACGGUCCAGACUCCUACGGGAGGCAGCAGUGGGGAAUAUUGCACAAUGGAGGAAACUCUGAUGCAGCAACGCCGCGUGGAGGAUGACGCAUUUCGGUGUGUAAACUCCUUUUAUAAGGGAAGAUAAUGACGGUACCUUAUGAGUAAGCACCGGCUAACUCCGUG
rnacentral:rRNA from 1 species